CACAUAAGACAUGCAAGUCGAACGGAAGUCGUUGUAAUGAUGUGACAUGAACAGAGAACUUGUUCAAAGGGAAUGGAGAUUGACUUACAACAAUGGCUUUAGUGGCGGACUGGUGAGUAACACGUAAGCAAUCUGCCUACAAGAGGGGAACAACAGUGAGAAAUCAUUGCUAAUACCGCAUAAGCUAACGCCUUCGCAUGAAGAAGUUAGAAAAGGAGUAAUCCGCUUGUAGAUGAGCUUGCGCCUGAUUAGCUAGUUGGUGUGGUAACGGCAUACCAAGGCAACGAUCAGUAGCUGUGCUGAGAGGCAAAACAGCCACAUUGGGACUGAGAUACGGCCCAGACUCCUACGGGAGGCAGCAGUCGGGAAUAUUGCACAAUGGGAAAGGAAACUCUGAUGCAGUGACGCCGCGUAUAGGAAGUAAGGUUUCGGAUUAGUAAACUUAUUUUAGACAGGGAAGAAAAAAGACGGUACCUGUAGAAUAAGCCCCGGCUAACUAUGUGCCAGCCGCCGC
rnacentral:rRNA from 1 species